AAUUUUAAGAUUUGGGUUGCACUGUGUUCAGAACUUCAGAUUAUUUUGGCAUGACUGUCCAACUACAAGUGUUAGUAAUUUUGUUCGUAAGGUUUUUACCCCUUGAUCAACACCAUAUUCAUGAAAGUUCUUGUGAUAUAUGUUUGUUAUAUUUACUCAUUUUUUUAUUCUGAUGGUGUAGAAUCAGAAACAGAAAUUCAGCGUCAGUUAGCACAGAGGGAAAAACUUCGAAAUGCCUCUUAUGGACUAUGUUCACUGUUUUUGGCGUGAUUGUCCUAUAAUCAUGCAGGAAAAGUUCCAUACCAAAAUGCAUCACAAUAUGUUUAGUCUCAUUUCGCCAUUGAAGAUC
rnacentral:lncRNA from 1 species